AUACAAAACACACCCUUUAUGACUUAGAAAUUAACUUCAAAAUCAUGCAAAUUGCUUUAGUUAGUGUAAAAGAGAGUGGAAGUUGGUUUUAGAGAUAUUAUGCUUGGUUUUCCUUAUUUUGACAGGGUUAGACGAGAAUUGAAUGAUGGAGAAUGAAGUAGGAAGGAGUUGGACUCAAGAAAGGAUGAAAAAAGGUGCAAAGGAAGAAUCACAGCCACCGCUCAGCACCAGUUUCAGCGCUGAGUGCCAGCUUUAUGAAAAGAGCCACUGCCAUAUGCUUAAGCGCCAACGUAGAGGAGAAAAGUUAGAGUUGCGCAAAUCAUUGAGUGCCAGAUCCAGCGCUGAGCAUUGGCCUUCUCAGAGACAACACUGCCAAACGCUUGGGCAUGAACGCUAAGCGUCCCGCUUGAGUGUCGCACCUACCG
rnacentral:lncRNA from 1 species